rnacentral:rRNA from 1 species
UACGUAGAAGACUAGUGUUAUUCAUCUUUAUUAGGUUUAAAGGGUACCUAGACGGCAUUAUUAGCCCGAAUUAGGGUACGAUAUUGCUAGAGUUUUAUAAGAGAAGGGGAGUAUUUAUGGAGUAGAGAUGAAAUUUUUUGAUACCAUGACGACUGAUAACGGCGAAAGCAACCUUCUAUCUAAUAACUGACGUUGAGGGACGAAGGCUUGGGUAGCAAACAG